GCCCAGCUGGCUCAGCUGGUAGAGCAUGCAACUCUUGAACUCAGAGGUGUGAGUUCAAGCCCCACGAUGGGUG
rnacentral:tRNA from 1 species